ACACUCACCUGGCAGGGGAGAUACCGUGGUCAGGAAGGUGGUUCUCCCAGGGCGAGGCUUAUCCAUGGCACUCGGAUAUGCUGACCCCUGAGAUUUCCCUAAAUGUGGGAAACCCGACUGCAUAGUCUGUGGUGGUGGGGACUGCGUUCGCGCUCUCCCGGG
rfam:Myotis lucifugus cont2.56824, whole genome shotgun sequence.